GGAGAGGUGCAAGAGCGGUUUAAUUGGCACGCCUGGAGAGCGUGUGGGCGGCUAAAACCUGCCCCGUGGGUUCGAAUCCCACCCUCUCCG
rnacentral:tRNA from 1 species